rnacentral:misc_RNA from 1 species
CUGAUACAAGAAAAUCUACUCAUUAUACACAUUCAUUUUACAGCUUACACCAUCUUAAUGUACAACUGUUGGUAGUGUAGCUUAAAUUCUAAAUCUAUACAUUCAUAUAUAUAGCAAGCAGAGCUAAAGUUAAGCACUAAUUGCAGUAUUGUUUGUUUUCGAGUUUGGCAAUGUGAAACUGCGCAGUGUAGGUGUUGGAAGAGCGUUCCAACACAGGAGGUUCGUUUAGAAAUUCCCAGUUGCUCCUACUCCACCUGCACCACAUAGGAGAUAUGAUGUUACUAUUCUAUUUAAGGCUCCAGGGGUUUGUAAAUACUAUCUCACCAGCCAUUUUUCUUUAUGAGUUCCUCCAAGCUUUUUCCAGUUUCCAUGUCCAUGAGACUCCCCAUUGUGUUGGCCUCGGGUAGAAGCUUGAUCUCUCAAGCUUCGUUCCACAGUCGUCAUCAUAUUUAGUAUUCCUGGAAUCAAACAGACUUCAAUAUUGUGAAAAAUGUUACAGAAUUAAACCUGAAUUGCUCUGAGAUGUUCCUCCUCUAUUUUCUUCUUUAAUUUCCAGUAAG